CCUUGCAGAUAGGCUUGCAUGCUCUCCAGUUCCUCCUUGGCUUCACGGAUCUCGCCGAAGAGACCCCUGAGAGCAGAUGCUUCCUUGAAGACCACUGACACACCAAAGGCUGCUGCCUCGGCUGCCAACGCCGCACCAAGCUUGCCAAUCAGCAGGCCGACAACAGCCUCCGCCAUGGUUGAACUGUGACCUUUGCCUGAGAGCUCAAGAAUAAGUGGACCUGGGUACCUGGUUGCUGUGUCUGCCUUAGUGUUUUGGAGGUCAACUGAUAAAGGAAUCUCAACCUAAAUGCCUUGAGUGAAUAAGGAAAUUCUCUCAACGCCAGGUAUCAUAUUGCUACCAGCUGGAGGCGUCGUGCAGUGUACUACAUGAUUUUGUGGAUUAAAUAUGGACGAUGCUACUCUCAAUAAUUGACCAAGUUAAACUUAACUAGUUAGUAAAAGAAUGUGAUUUGCCAAGUUGAUAAUGUAAAAUUCUCAUCUAAAGAAAUAUUGGGGUACCACUAGCAUACUCUGAUACCUUGACUUGUUUAUUAAGAUCAAAAACUUAUUUUAUGCAAUAGAUCCGUACAGUUCUGUCUACCCUUGACCUCAUAGAACGUGGCCUCCGCUUAGUCUGCAUUUUAGAUGCAUAGUAGGUGUUUAAGUAUAAAAAAAUGCAUGGUGGGUGAGGAUUACUAAUCAUCUCUACAGGAAGUCAAUCCAAGCUUUGCUGUCAGCGAGCAUAGAUGUAGAAUGUGUAUGGCACUUUGGCUGACCUUGAUGUCACCACCUUCCUUUAUUUCAACAUCUGAUAUCAAGAAUGAUAUCAAGAAAUAAUCUUUGUUUGCCACUUGCCAAGAAGCUUGCGGAAAGACAUUGAGUGAACUUUCGGUGUUUUGCAAGCUUGCUUUGCUAUUGUCCAAGGUCUGGCUUGUUUGUGGGACAAAGAAACCCUUGGCAACAUCAUGACUGUUUGUGUUAUCCUCCAAAAUAUGAUCAUCGAGUAUGAGAGGGGCCUUGACUUGGACUUUGAGUAUGACAAUAUCCGCACUCGUGUUUAACCAUGAAAGAACUCGGUCUAGAUCCAAGCUUUCCUUGAGGUUUUCCAGCAGAUCGAAUACCGGGCUUCUUAUGAUCAAUUUCGCCAAGAUCUCACUGAGCGUCAACCGCAACUAUUUGGGAGCUAAUCUCAUACUAUUUGUUCUUCUCUAUUCAUGUUUAUUCGUGUUUUAUUCGGACCAUUUGAUUGGUUCAGACCCUAUUUUAUUGAAUUGAACUAUUUUUGUAUUGCGCUAUGUUUAAACAUAA